AGGAGCCGUAUGAGAUGAAAACCUCAUGUACGGUUUUGGAACGGAGAUUUUUUGAAUAAUUGAGAAGGACAAACUUUUGUUUAU
rnacentral:ncRNA from 1 species